CGCAUUCUGUUACAUGUCUAUUGUGAGUAUCAAAAUAAAGAAGACUAUGAUAAAUGAAAGGACCUCUUAUUUGUAGUGUUGUUUAAUAUUAGCUUUUAAGCUUUUAAUUAGGUUUGGUCUUAACCAGUAUGCACUUUCUUGAAUGUCAUUUCAUUUGAGGUACCUUUUUAACAACAUUCAUUUUACAAGGUUGUGUGUUUAGGCCUGUUUAUACCAAGAACGACAUUCAGUGAGAUAAACUUUUGACCUUGAUUAAACCGCUGACAAACAUUUGCAUGCUGUUUUUUACGUAUAAGAGUUCUUAAGGGAUAGAAAAAAUUAACUAUUUACCCACUCUCAUGUUGUUUCCAGACAUGUAUGAAUUUCUUUUUGUUGAACACAAAAGAAUAUAUUUUGAAAAAAUGUUUGUAACCAAACAUCUGCUGGUAGCCGUUGACUUCCAUGGCAUUUUUAUUCAUAUAUUAUUUUAUUCAUAUCUCUUAUCUAUCCCACUGCGAAUAAAGCUGGCCAACCAAUAAGAAUCAGGCUUUUUAUUCACAUGCCCAGAGCCACUGCUGUUACAUGAAACUGAUUUGGUGGCACUUACAGACAAUACAGAAUCUGCAGCAAGCAGGGGGUUUUCUUGCUUUUCCAUAAACGCCACCUACUAAAAAUUUAACUGCAUUUUUGUUCCAGUCCUGGAAUUCAUCUUGGUAUAAACAGGCUUUUUUUUAUUAAAGCUUCAUUCAAAAAAAAGAAAGAAGAAAAACCUGCAUCAGUUUUUCUAGAAAGUUAGUCAACUUAAAAGGCAAGUUGGAAUUAAAACUCAAUCAGAACUAGAAACUUUAAACUAGCCUGAAUCCUUUGCUUUUGACAUCCUUCUUUUAGAUCGAUUCAUUUACGCUUAUGAAUCUGCCACAGACAUUAAAAUGAGGCAGGCUUUGGUUUCGUAAGCUUGUUUGUCGGUAUACUCCGGUUUGUUUUGUCAUAUCGAUAGGAUGAAGUUUUGCUAUGAUGGUGUGGAGUGGAGACACCGGUUAUGAUUCCUUGAAUGUUCUGACUGACCGUCCUUUGUUUUAUUGAGAGCACAGAGAUUGAGCCAGAUGUGACGAGUUUGUGUGAGUUAAAACAGUGGAGUAAAGGCCUCUAAAUGCACUAUAGAAGCACAUUUUGAGGUGAUUAUGAGUGACAAUUAAUGAAGCUUGACAGCCUUUAUGAGCAACCGAAACAGGUUUAGGUACACAUUUUAGUUACAGGCCUGUAGCGUCAGUGUGUGGGUCUGUUCUUUCUUUUUUUUUUUUCUUUUUUUAAAUCCUUCUAAAGAGAGACUAAUUGUAUGUCAAUGUGUUUUUUUUCUCUCCUUGUAAGUAAUGACCUUACAGAUUCAAAGAUAAGUUGGCUUGAAUAUCUCUCUUCCAUUCAGUACAGUUACAAAUGUUUACAGUAUCUAAUUAACCAAAUAGAAGAUGUAUUUUCAGACAUGCCCUGUCUGGUCCUGAAAGGAGUCUGUUAGACGGAGUUUCUUGUCUUUUUUUUUUUUUUUUUUUUUGCCUCUGUUUUAAACUUGAAGAUUUUGUUCUUUGUUCUCUUUAAACAGUGCUCCCUCACCUCACAUCGUAUUUUCUUCUGAAUAAAAAGGAAGUUUAAUGGUCUUUUAGGUGGCAGAGCAGGUUUGCCAGCGUUCUUCAUUUUUUUUUUUUUUUUUUUUUUUUGCGGUAGUAGACAUAUUUCUGUUUCAAGUUACACUUGACUUAUAUGUAACUAACUUCCUUCUAUAGUCUCAGUCAGAGCAAGAACUAAAAUUAGCCGUUCUUUUUUCCUCUUCCGUCUUUCUACGACAAGAUGUAUACUGAAAAGUAAGAUACAGCAGAGCCAAAUGUUUAAUAGACUUCUGUUUGUGUUCUAUUAUAACAGUGUAUGAAAUUUUCAUGCAUAGUGGUUAUGACGUAACUAUGAAAGCUUAGUUUAUCUCACAAUUCUUUUAUUCUUUUAGGUACAUCUAAGGGGAAAAAAUCAGAAAUGUGAGAUAUAAAGUCAGACAUAUAUACUUGCAA